GCUUUUGGUUCAGUGGUAGAAUGCUCGCCUGCCACGUGGCCUACCGGGUUCGAUUCCCGGCCGAUGCA
rnacentral:tRNA from 1 species